rnacentral:rRNA from 1 species
UACGUAGGGUGCAAGCGUUGUCCGGAAUUAUUGGGCGUAAAGAGCUCGUAGGCGGUUUGUCGCGUCGAAUGUGAAAACCCCGGGGCUCAACCCCGGGCCUGCAUUCGAUACGGGCAGACUAGAGUUCGGUAGGGGAGUCUGGAAUUCCCGGUGUAGCGGUGAAAUGCGUAGAUAGUCGGGAGGAACACCUGUGGCGAAAGCGGCUCACUGGACCACAACUGACGCUGAGGCGCGAAAGCUAGGGGAGCAAACAGGG